rnacentral:rRNA from 1 species
GACGUAGGGCGCGAGCGUUGUCCGGAUUUAUUGGGCGUAAAGGGUGCGUAGGCGGCGCGGUAAGUCGGGUGUGAAAUCUCGGAGCUUAACUUCGAGACUGCAUUCGAUACUGCCGUGCUUGAGGACUGGAGAGGAGACUGGAAUUUACGGUGUAGCGGUGAAAUGCGUAGAUAUCGUAAGGAAGACCAGUGGCGAAGGCGGGUCUCUGGACAGUUCCUGACGCUGAGGCACGAAGGUCAGGGGAGCAAACGGG